rnacentral:rRNA from 1 species
UUGAUCUCAAAUCAGGCAAGACUACCCGCUGAACUUAAGCAUAUCAAUAAGCGGAGGAA